rnacentral:rRNA from 1 species
AUUGAACGCUGGCGGUAGGCCUAACACAUGCAAGUCGAACGGCAGCACAGGAGAGCUUGCUCUCUGGGUGGCGAGUGGCGGACGGGUGAGGAAUACAUCGGAAUCUACCUUUUCGUGGGGGAUAACGUAUGGAAACGUACGCUAAUACCGCAUACGACCGUCGGGUGAAAGCAGGGGACCUUCGGGCCUUGCGCGGAUAGAUGAGCCGAUGUCGGAUUAGCUAGUUGGCGGGGUAAAGGCCCACCAAGGCGACGAUCCGUAGCUGGUCUGAGAGGAUGAUCAGCCACACUGGAACUGAGACACGGUCCAGACUCCUACGGGAGGCAGCAGUGGGGAAUAUUGGACAAUGGGCGCAAGCCUGAUCCAGCCAUACCGCGUGGGUGAAGAAGGCCUUCGGGUUGUAAAGCCCUUUUGUUGGGAAAGAAAAGCAGCCGGUUAAUACCCGGUUGUUCUGACGGUACCCAAAGAAUAAGCACCGGCUAACUUCGUG